rnacentral:rRNA from 1 species
UACGGAGGGUGCAAGCGUUGUCCGGAAUUAUUGGGCGUAAAGAGCUCGUAGGCGGUUUGUUGCGUCGGCUGUGAAAUCCCGAGGCUCAACCCUCGGGUCUGCAGUCGAUACGAGCAAACUAGAGUGUUGCAGGGGAGACUGGAAUUCCUGGUGUAGCGGUGAAAUGCGCAGAUAUCAGGAGGAACACCGGUGGCGAAAGCGGGUCUCUGGGCCGAUACUGACGCUGGAGGAGCGAAAAGCCGUGGGGAGCGAACAGG